rnacentral:tRNA from 1 species
AGGUUAGUAAGUUAAGUAAACUACGGGGUUCAUGUCCCCAUAAUAUGGGUUUCCCAUCUAACCAA